AUCCAACAAAUAUGAGUAUAUAAAAUCCACCAACUAAAAGUUUUCACAGUUCAAGCUCGACUCCUCUAAAUCAUCAAACCACAUAUUCUAAUAAUAGUUUCUGCAGAUUAUCAAUUCAUAAUGGUCUGAUCAGUAAAGUAGAUAGCCGGAGCUGUCCUCUCAACAUAUGCUUAUAUGGGAAAAGAAAAUCCCCAUCCCCUCUUAAGCAAUUGCCAAAUCCAACAUCUCUACUCAUCAGAACACAAGAAACAACAAAUUAUGAUACAUAAAAAAUGGCAACAAAAACACACACUGAUCCACAAAAUAUUAAUUCAGAAAGAGGAAUUAAACUGAAACAGAAGCCGAUAUGAAUAUAGAUCAAAUAUUGUCAUUACGUAGACUUAAUCGACGGGCUAAAUAAAUAGCAUAAACUUCAACUUACCAAAAGCAGAACAGGAGAAACAAAGCAGAACCGAUCAGUGGAGAAAGAAAGCAGAACAGGAGAAAGAAAGGAGAACCGAUCCUUUUUAUAGAUGAAAUAUAAGAUUGUCAAUUUGACAAAGAAUUCUACAUUUGAUAGGAUUUAUCUAUGAAUUUGAGUCUAUCUAUAAUUUGUUAAUAAUUGUGAUGUUGAUCAAAUACAUAUUAAUAAUUAAAAUUUAGAGAAAGAGAUAAAGAUUAUAGUUUGUGCUGCGUGCUUUUCUGGUUCAUUGGAUUGGAAUACUCGG
rnacentral:lncRNA from 1 species